GACGAACGCUGGCGGCGUGCUUAACACAUGCAAGUCGAGCGGUAAGGCCCUUUCGGGGGUACACGAGCGGCGAACGGGUGAGUAACACGUGGGUGACCUGCCCUCAGCUCUGGGAUAAGCCUGGGAAACCGGGUCUAAUACUGGAUAUGACUCCAUGACGCAUGUUGUGGGGUGGAAAGCCUUGUGCGGCUGAGGAUGGGCCCGCGGCCUAUCAGCUUGUUGGUGGGGUGAUGGCCACCAAGGCGACGACGGGUAGCCGGCCUGAGAGGGCGACCGGCCACACUGGGACU
rnacentral:rRNA from 1 species